rnacentral:rRNA from 1 species
AUUGAACGCUGGCGGCAUGCUUUACACAUGCAAGUCGAACGGUAACAGGCCGCAAGGUGCUGACGAGUGGCGAACGGGUGAGUAAUGCAUCGGAACGUGCCCAGUCGUGGGGGAUAACUACUCGAAAGAGUAGCUAAUACCGCAUACGAUCUAUGGAUGAAAGCGGGGGACCGUAAGGCCUCGCGCGAUUGGAGCGGCCGAUGUCAGAUUAGGUAGUUGGUGGGGUAAAGGCUCACCAAGCCAACGAUCUGUAGCUGGUCUGAGAGGACGACCAGCCACACUGGGUCUGAGACACGGCCCAGACUCCUACGGGAGGCAGCAGUGGGGAAUUUUGGACAAUGGGCGCAAGCCUGAUCCAGCAAUGCCGCGUGCAGGAAGAAGGCCUUCGGGUUGUAAACUGCUUUUGUACGGAACGAAACGGCUCUGGUUAAUACCCGGGGCUAAUGACGGUACCGUAAGAAUAAGCACCGGCUAACUACGUG